GGCGACCGGCGCACGGGUGAGUAACGCGUAUGCAACCUGCCCGAUACCGGGGUAUAGCCCAUGGAAACGUGGAUUAACACCCCAUAGUACUUUUAUCCUGCAUGGGAUGUGAGUUAAAUGUUCAAGGUAUCGGAUGGGCAUGCGUCCUAUUAGUUAGUUGGCGGGGUAACAGCCCACCAAGACGAUGAUAGGUAGGGGUUCUGAGAGGAAGGUCCCCCACAUUGGAACUGAGACACGGUCCAAACUCCUACGGGAGGCAGCAGUGAGGAAUAUUGGUCAAUGGACGUAAGUCUGAACCAGCCAAGUCGCGUGAGGGAAGACUGCCCUAUGGGUUGUAAACCUCUUUUAUAAGGGAAGAAUAAGUUCUACGUGUAGAAUGAUGCCUGUACCUUAUGAAUAAGCAUCGGCUAACUCCGUGCCAGCAGCCGCGGUAAUACGGAGGAUGCGAGCGUUAUCCGGAUUUAUUGGGUUUAAAGGGUGCGUAGGCGGUUUAUUAAGUUAGUGGUUAAAUAUUUGAGCUAAACUCAAUUGUGCCAUUAAUACUGGUAAACUGGAGUACAGACGAGGUAGGCGGAAUAAGUUAAGUAGCGGUGAAAUGCAUAGAUAUGACUUAGAACUCCGAUAGCG
rnacentral:rRNA from 1 species